rnacentral:rRNA from 1 species
GACGAACGCUGGCGGCGUGCUUAACACAUGCAAGUCGAACGGAAAGGCCUCUUUCGGGGGGUACUCGUGUGGCGAACGGGUGAGUAACACGUGAGUAACCUGCCCUUGUCUUUGGGAUAACUUCAGUAAACUGGGGCUAAUUCCGGAUAGGAGAUCUUGCUGACUGGUGGGGGUUGGAAUGUUUCGGCGGGUUGGGAUCGACUCGCGGCGUAUCAGCUUGUUGGUGGGGUAAUGGCUUACCAAGGCUUUGGCGGGUAGCCGGCCUGAGAGCGUGACCGGCCACAUAGACACCUAGAGGCGGCCCAGGCACCGACGGGUGGGAGAAGUGGGGAAGAUUGCACGAUGGGUGGAAGCCGGAUGCAGAAGCUCCUCGGGCGGGAUGACGGUCUUAGGGGUGAAGAACGCAUGCGCACAUGACGAAGCUUUGUGUGACGGUAGUGAGUAAAGAAGCACCGGCUAACUACGUG